AUACGGAGGGUGCGAGCGUUAAUCGGAAUUACUGGGCGUAAAGCGUACGUAGGCGGUUGGUUAAGUUAGAUGUGAAAGCCCCGGGCUUAACCUGGGAACUGCAUUUGAAACUGGGUAACUAGAGUUUAGUAGAGGGGAGUGGAAUUUCAGGUGUAGCGGUGAAAUGCGUAGAGAUCUGAAGGAACACCAGUGGCGAAGGCGACUCCCUGGACUAAAACUGACGCUGAGGUACGAAAGCGUGGGUAGCAAACAGGAUUAGAAACCCUUGUAGUCC
rnacentral:rRNA from 1 species